AGCGAACGCUGGCGGAAUGCUUAACACAUGCAAGUCGAGCGGCUGGGGCAACCUGGCAGCGGCGGACGGGUGCGUAACGCGUAGGAACAUGUCCGGAGGUGGGGGACAACCCUGGGAAACUGGGGCUAAUACCGCAUGUGUCUUGAGGGACAAAGCCUUUGGGUGCAAACCUGGGGGCGCCUUUGGAGUGGCCUGCGUCCGAUUAGCUAGUUGGUGGGGUAACGGCUUACCAAGGCGACGANCGGUAGCUGGUCUGAGAGGACGAUCAGCCACACUGGGACUGAGACACGGCCCAGACUCCUACGGGAGGCAGCAGUGGGGAAUAUUGGACAAUGGGGGCAACCCUGAUCCAGCAAUUCCGCGUGGGUGAAGAAGGUCUUCGGAUUGUAAAGCCCUUUCGGCGGGGACGAUGAUGACGGUACCCGCAGAAGAAGCCCCGGCUAACUUCGUGCCAGCAGCCGCAGUAAC
rnacentral:rRNA from 1 species